rnacentral:rRNA from 1 species
AGCUUGUUGGUGAGGUAAUGGCUCACCAAGGCGACGACGGGUAGCCGGCCUGAGAGGGCGACCGGCCACACUGGGACUGAGACACGGCCCAGACUCCUACGGGAGGCAGCAGUGGGGAAUAUUGCACAAUGGGCGCAAGCCUGAUGCAGCGACGCCGCGUGAGGGAUGACGGCCUUCGGGUUGUAAACCUCUUUCAGCAGGGAAGAAGCGCAAGUGACGGUACCUGCAGAAGAAGCGCCGGCUAACUACGUGCCAGCAGCCGCGGUAAUACGUAGGGCGCAAGCGUUGUCCGGAAUUAUUGGGCGUAAAGAGCUCGUAGGCGGCUUGUCACGUCGGGUGUGAAAGCCCGGGGCUUAACCCCGGGUCUGCAUUCGAUACGGGCUAGCUAGAGUUCGGUAGGGGAGAUCGGAAUUCCUGGUGUAGCGGUGAAAUGCGCAGAUAUCAGGAGGAACACCGGUGGCGAAGGCGGAUCUCUGGGCCGAUACUGACGCUGAGGAGCGAAAGCGUGGGGAGCGAACAGGAUUAGAUACCCUGGUAGUCCACGCCGUAAACGGUGGGCACUAGGUGUGGGCGACAUUCCACGUCGUCCGUGCCGCAGCUAACGCAUUAAGUGCCCCGCU